rnacentral:lncRNA from 1 species
UUUCAAACUACUCAAAAUUGAUUCACUUGGCCAAUUCACACAGCAGAAAUCCUUCUUUGCCUUCUAGCUUCUUCUACGCUGGAAGUUUGGAACCACAGAACAAAUGGGAUGCAAGGAAAUGCUAAAAAUAGAAAUGGAAAUCAAGACAACAGUAGAAAACAUGAAGCCACUGGUACAGCUCUUGGUUCUGAAAAUACACCGAUUUUCCAAGAACAAAUCAUGGAGAAUACUUUUGAAGUAAAUAGUUUUUCAAAACCUUUAUUCAUCAAAGGAAAAGUUUAUCUUUGCUUAAAGAUGCAUCUUUGAUAUUAACCUAUUUGCAUAUUAAUUACUUUUGAUAUUCAAAGGUAAGUGUGGCCCAAUUCC